AAGGCUCGUCCGCUCUGGGUUAGUCGGGUCCUAAGCUGAGGCCGACAGGCGUAGGCGAUGGAUAACAGGUUGAUAUUCCUGUACCACCAUUAUUCGUUUUAAGCGAUGGGGGGACGCAGUAGGAUAGGCGAAGCGUGCUGUUGGAGUGCACGUCCAAGCAGUGAGAUUGAGUGUUAGGCAAAUCCGGCACUCUUAAGAUUGAGCUGUGAUGGGGAGAGGAACUUGUUCCUCGAGUCGUUGAUUUCACACUGCCGAGAAAAGCCUCUAGCUAGAAUAACGGUGCCCGUACCGCAAACCGACACAGGUAGUCAAGAUGAGAAUUCUAAGGUGAGCGAGCGAACUCUCGUUAAGGAACUCGGCAAAAUGACCCCGUAACUUCGGGAGAAGGGGUGCUCUUUGAGGUUCACGCUUCGAAGAGCCGCAGUGAAUAGGCCCAAGCGACUGUUUAUCAAAAACACAGGUCUCUGCUAAACCGUAAGGUGACGUAUAGGGGCUGACGCCUGCCCGGUGCUGGAAGGUUAAGAGGAGUGGUUAGCGCAAGCGAAGCUACGAAUCGAAGCCCCAGUAAACGGCGGCCGUAACUAUAACGGUCCUAAGGUAGCGAAAUUCCUUGUCGGGUAAGUUCCGACCCGCACGAAAGGCGUAACGAUUUGGGCACUGUCUCAACGAGAGACUCGGUGAAAUCAUAGUACCGGUGAAGAUGCCGGUUACCCGCGACAGGACGGAAAGACCCCGUGGAGCUUUACUGUAGCCUGAUAUUGAAAUUCGGUACAGUUUGUACAGGAUAGGUAGGAGCCUUAGAAGCGUGAGCGCUAGCUUACGUGGAGGCAUUGGUGGGAUACUACCCUAAUUGUAUUGGAUUUCUAACCCGCAGCACUUAUCGUGCUGGGAGACAGUGUCAGGCGGGCAGUUUGACUGGGGCGGUCGCCUCCUAAAGAGUAACGGAGGCGCUCAAAGGUUCCCUCAGAAUGGUUGGAAAUCAUUCAUAGAGUGUAAAGGCAUAAGGGAGCUUGACUGCGAGACCUACAAGUCGAGCAGGGUCGAAAGACGGACUUAGUGAUCCGGUGGUUCCGCAUGGAAGGGCCAUCGCUCAACGGAUAAAAGCUACCCCGGGGAUAACAGGCUUAUCUCCCCCAAGAGUUCACAUCGACGGGGAGGUUUGGCACCUCGAUGUCGGCUCAUCGCAUCCUGGGGCUGUAGUCGGUCCCAAGGGUUGGGCUGUUCGCCCAUUAAAGCGGUACGCGAGCUGGGUUCAGAACGUCGUGAGACAGUUCGGUCCCUAUCCGUCGUGGGCGUAGGAAAUUUGAGAGGAGCUGUCCUUAGUACGAGAGGACCGGGAUGGACAUACCUCUGGUGUACCAGUUGUCGUGCCAACGGCAUAGCUGGGUAGCUAUGUAUGGACGGGAUAAGUGCUGAAAGCAUCUAAGCAUGAAGCCCCCCUCGAGAUGAGAUUUCCCAACUUCGGUUAUAAG
rnacentral:rRNA from 1 species